rnacentral:rRNA from 1 species
UACGGGGGGGGCAAGCGUUGUCCGGAAUUACUGGGCGUAAAGGGCUCGUAGGUGGCCAACUAAGUCAGACGUGAAAUCCCUCGGCUUAACCGGGGAACUGCGUCUGAUACUGGAUGGCUUGAGUUCGGGAGAGGGAUGCGGAAUUCCAGGUGUAGCGGUGAAAUGCGUAGAUAUCUGGAGGAACACCAGAGGCGAAGGCGGAUCGCUGGGCCAACACUGACGCUGAGACGCGAAAGCUAGGGGAGCAAACGGG